CAAAUUUGAGUCCAGGGUGAUUUCACUUGACUUUAUUAAACCUGAAAACCAGGAAGAGAUUAUGUUCAAUAAACACAAUAACCUAAAAAUAGGCCAGAACCCCUGGUUCCUUUUAAAACAACCUUAUGGUUUCUGCCAAUAGAGAUAUACUUACCCCUCAAGCACCACCCCAGUUCUUUCAGUCAUGACAGGAAACGUUCACUCAGAGACUCUUUCCAGAGCUAUGCAAGGGCUUCUCUUAGGAAGGGCCUAAACUUGAUGAAAAAUGGAGUUUUGAUCUCAAAUAGUUUUCUUAAUAAUGUUGUGGUAUGAGUUGAGCAGGCAUGUUCCCCGAAAGAGAGAGGAUAAAAUUAUAUUGACUGCACAAUGGCACAUUUUACAGUCUCCCACAUGUUGUUCCUCUGCAACCAGGAAGCUAGACUUAAUGUAACUUGGGGGUUGGGCUUGAGCCUGCAGGAGCUAUAAACGGUCUGGUCAAUGGAGGUCAGUGAAGGAAGUCAAGGAACAUGGGCCCAGAUUGUCCAGAGGAAAAGAAGCCCAAAUUCAUGGUCAAGGCCCAAAGUUUAUCUGAAUUGUCUUCCAUUUCUGUCAAGGUUUCGCAUCAGGUCACUGGUAUCUAUCACUGUGGCAAGGAAGGAUUAUUUUUAUUAAGCAUUUUGUGUUUGCCUAAGAGCUUUAAGUCAUUAAUCAUUUAACUCUUGCUCCCCAUGAGACUUUUGUGAAGUAAAUGGGAAAGAAAUAGCACAAUUCUUAUUUCACAGAUAGGGAAACUGAAGCAUUUUUGUUUGCCACUAUUACCCACUGAAAGAGUUAAAGCCAUGCAUUAGAACAUGGGAGAACCAGGCCAGCGUCUCAGCAUCUGAUGAGCUUUUGUUUCACCACAGAAGUGAGGUUUUCUGUUUUUAUACAAAACGAACUUGCAUAUUUUUCAUUUUGGAAGCAACAUGAUGGAUACUGAGGUGUACUGAAGAAAAAAACAGACUUCGGUUCCUUUCAUACAGUAUGAACGUUCUAUGGAGUUCCCACAACAAUUUUGGAAUCCAAAUAUGUGUUUAAGUUUAAGAAGUAAAGAUUGUAAGGCAUUGCUAAUCUUGAGUUUUCUAAUAAGAAAGAGAAUAUAAGCAAACACAUCCAGUGUGGUCGUGAAUAGCCAAUAGCAAGUCAUAAAGGGACUUUGAGAGGAUGGCAUGGGGAUUUUGCUUCCUGAAAUGAAUGUGGUGGGCUUCUUGGAGGAAGUGUGUUUUGAAUUUUAAUUAAAAAAGAAGAGUCUUCAGAGAUGAUAUGUUCUUCCACCCAGAUGAAUUGAAAUAUCUUCCCUCUUCCUUUAAUGAAGUGUAAACACCAUCAAAAAAUAGUCAAAUAUCACAAGAAGAAGUUGACCAAGAGGUCCACAGGGCAGAUUUCAUAGUAAUGGAGAGGAAAUGAAGAAAAGUUGUCUGGCAGUGAGAGCUAUCAGAUCUAUUAACAAUGAGGUAGUUCAGGGGGCAGAUGGUUUAGGGUGGGAAGGAGAAGGAUGUCAGUGGAAGCCUUUUAAACCAGACUAGAUAAAGCACAGAAAGAUCACUUUAGGACUCAGCAUGCCCUCUGGUGGGGGUAGGGAAUACAGUUAGGGCCAGACUAAUCUAUUUCCUUUUGCGUAAGGCAGACCCUGGAUUCAAAUCCAUAUAGGAACCAUGACUAAACAUCUCGGGUUCCUCUUUUCUAAAAUGAUAUCAACAAGGCCUACCUUAUAAGUUGAUGAGCGAAAUUAAAAAAAAAAAAAAAAACUGGUUGUGUUAACGUAGUGCACAGAACCAGAAGCAAAUUUGGGUAUAUUGGGUCUAAAGCUUAUGUAAUAUUGGAGGACUUCUUUAAGAAAAAGAAUACACAAGUCUGAUUAUAAAAAUAUAAAUAUCUUAUAAAAAAUAGUAAAGUGAGUAUUUACUUAGAAUAAAAUAAAACACAACAAACUAACAAAUAUCAAGAUUGUCACAAAAUUUGGGAAAACAACAUGAUAUUUUAUUAGUUACCUGAAAUACCUGUUUUGUGUGUGUGUGUACAUAUACAUUAUAGAUAUAUAUAUUUGCUCUAUAUUCUGAUGGCCUCUUCAUUUGACAAAAAUUCUGUAAUAUAUAUAGAGAAUGAGAACACAUUUUAACUUUCCUCUCAUAUGAUUGAUCAAAAUUUGUUUUCUAUUACUGAUAGUUUAGAAGAAUUUUUUUCAGCAUCACAACUUGCUUGUAAUGUCACACAAAAUUUCAUGAUUGUCAAAUUUGGGAAAAGUUCUACCAAGGUUUUUCAGGUAAGAGUUGCAAGACUUAGGUAAGUCUUUCAUGGGUUAGCUUCUGACUCUGUACAUUUCAAUUCUUGUUUCUCCUUCUUGGUCCUCCUAAUCUUGGGACUGGGCAUUGUAGACUACACUCCUAUCCCGGCAUGAUACGCUCUGGUCUCCAGCUCACUAAAUGAAUAGAUAAUGAAUGAUAAGAGUGUUGAAAUCCAUUCCUACAAUCAGGGGGCUAGCAUCAACUAUAGAAAAAAGUGAUGUGAACUACAGAAUACUUCCCAUGCCACUCAAGCUAAAUGUAUCUUCAACUCAACUCCAAAGCCAACCUACACGAAGGGAGAUGUGGCAGAGGGAAAGUCAGUCACCAAUUAAUGAAUUAGUGUUAAGUACUUUAAUUUUAUAAACUUUACCAAACAUAUAACCAUGCCCACACAUUGAUAGAGCCCCUACCAGCGCCUUGGAGGGUCUCAUGCCAUUAGCUUCGUGGUCACCAACCUCUAUAUGCCCUAUGAAUGUGCUGAACAAUUCUGUCCCCCAUACUGGCAAGUAUUACUCAAAAUGAGCAAGAUGGUGGCAGGGAUUUAAGGUUACAAAUUCAGGAGACUCUGGAAGGCAACAAACAACUCCAAACACAGAGAUGAGCUAUGUCUCCUUCAGUAGUGGUGAAUCUAAAUUAAACUGAGUCUUGAGUAUGUGAUGGUGGCAUGUCAGAAGAAAACUCUUUGUUCUUUCCAUAUUUUGCUGGGCUCCCCACCUCCCAACAUCAGCUGGUUACAUUUGAGUUCACAGCUCCUCUUUGAAAUGGAUGUGAUUUACCUGACUCUGAACUCUUUCAUCUUUCAGAAAAUCCCUUCUUGAACCACGAUGAUCCACCUAGAGCACUAUGAUACCUGGAGGUAGUAGAGGUCUGUCUGUGUAAUUUUUUGGCUGUAUAAUACUCCAUUCUAUGAAGGUAACAUAAUUUGUUCACCCAUUCUACUGUUGAUGGACAGGUUGCACUAAUCUGUACUCUCACUAACUGAGAAUUCCAAGAGCUCCACAUUCUCAUCACACCUGACAUUACUGGACUUGAUCAAUUCUAUGAACCUGGUGAGCCUGAGAAUUUUCCAGCUAUAAAAAGAAUGGAAGCAAUUCGUGGCAGAGGAAAUAAUAUAUGUAACAGUCUAGUGGAAUGAAUGAACUUGAAGCAAAUCCCCCUCAAGAGAGGCCUACAGAGACUGUGGCCCCUGCGGAUAGCUUGACUGCAACCUUAUGAGAUCUGCAUCCUUGACCCAGAGAAGCCCUGAAAUAACAGAUCACAAGUAGGCAGAGAGAGAGGAGGAAGCAGGCUCCCCGCUGAGCAGAGAGCCCGAUGCAGGGCUUGAUCCCAGGACCUUGAGAUCACGACCUGAGCCGAAGGCAGAGGCUUAACCCACUGAGCCACCCAGGCGCCCCAUGUAUGGAUAUAGAACUUUUGAUCUACUCAUCAGCUGAUGAACAUUUGGGUUCAUUCCAUCUUUUGGUUAUUAUGAAUAGUUCUUCUAUGAAUGUUUGUGUACAAGUUUUUCUGUGGACAUAUGUUUCCAAUUCUCUUGGUGUAUACUCAGUGGAAUUUCUGGGCCACAUAAGCCUAUGUUUCAUUUUUUAAGGAACUUCCAAACUGUUUUUCAAAGAAGCUGCAGUAUUUCCUAUUUUAACUAGCAGUAUACAAGGGUUCCAGUUUCUCCAGAUUCUUAUCAACACUUGUGAUGUUCUGUCUUUCUUGUUUUAGACAUCCUCGUGAGUGUGAAGUGGUGUCUCACUGUGGUUUUGAUUUGCAUUUCCCGAAGGACAUGUUGAGCAUGUUUUCAUGUAUUUAUUGACCAUUUACGUAUCUUCUUUGGAAAAUUUUUUUUUUUUGAAAAAAAAUUUUUUUAAAAUACAUAUUCCUAGAGAGGUUUGUCUUUGGUUCUCUCUAGUUCUCUUCCUUUGCCUCUGCCCCUUAGGACAUCAGGAAAAAGUCCUAAAGCAUUCUGCACACCUGCCUCUUGGUCCCAUCUUUGGCUAGAGAGGACUACGCAGCAGCAGACUUGGA